AGCCCACCAUCUCUUGGGUAGAGCAUGCGACUGAAAAUCGCAGUGUCGGUGGUUCGAUUCCGCCCCUGGGCACCA
rnacentral:tRNA from 1 species